UACGGAGGGGGGCUAGCGUUUGUUCGGAAUUACUGGGCGUAAAGCGCACGUAGGCGGCUGUUCAAGUCAGAGGUGAAAAGCCUGGAGCUCAACUCCAGAACUGCCUUUUGAAACUAGACAGCUAGAAAUCAUGGAGAGGUGAGUGGAAUUCCGAGUGUAGAGGUGAAAUUCGUAGAUAUUCGGAAGAACACCAGUGGCGAAGGCGGCUCACUGGACAUGUAUUGACGCUGAGGUGCGAAAGCGUGGGGAGCAAACAGG
rnacentral:rRNA from 1 species